GGGCCCGUAGCUCAAGCGGAUAGAGCAUCGGAUUUCUAAUCCGAGGGUUGCAGGUUCGACUCCUGCCGGGCCUACCA
rnacentral:tRNA from 1 species